CCUACGGUCGGCAGCAGUCGAGAAUCAUUCACAAUGGGGGAAACCCUGAUGGUGCGACGCCGCGUGGGGGAAUGAAGGUCUUCGGAUUGUAAACCCCUGUCAUGUGGGAGCAAAUUAAAAAGAUAGUACCACACGAGGAAGAGACGGCUAACUCUGUGCCAGCAGCCGCGGUAAUACAGAGGUCUCAAGCGUUGUUCGGAAUCACGGGGCGUAAAGCGUGCGUAGGCUGUUUCGUCAGACGUGUGUGAAAGGCGCGGGCUCAACCCCCGGCCGGCACAUGAUACUGCGAGACUAGAGUAAUGGAGGUGGAACCGGACUUCUCGGUGUCGCAGU
rnacentral:rRNA from 1 species